ACUUCAAUUUGUUAUUAAAAAAAAUACAUAACUUUAAUUUUAUUUCACACAAAAAUCCCUUUAACAAGUAAUAGCAGAUUUACAGAUAAAAAAAUCCCUCUAAAAAUGACAUUGAUAUUCUUGUGAUGGUUGCAAAUAAUGACUAGAACAGUGUUUUUUAGGUGAGAGGAAAGAAAGUAAAAAAGGUAAUUUCAUUUUUUUUUAA
rnacentral:misc_RNA from 1 species